AUACUUACCCGUCAGGGGAGAUACCAUGAUCAUGAAAGUGGUUUUCCCAGGGUGAGGCUCAUCCAUUGCACUUUGGGUGUGCUGAUCCCUGUGAUUUCCCCAAAUGUGGGGAAAUUACCUGCAUAAUUUGUGGUAGUGGGGGACUGCGUUUGUGGUUUCCACUG
rnacentral:snRNA from 1 species